rnacentral:sRNA from 1 species
GCAUGCCAGGGCGGAUCCCAGAGGCCCUGCAGCGGGAAUGGCCACUGCAGCGGAGAUGGGAGCAGACAGGGCGACGGGUCCUGCCGGUGCCACAUGGGGUACCAGGGCCCGCUGUGCACUGACUGCAUGGACGGCUACUUCAGCUCGCUCCGGAACGAGACCCACAGCAUCUGCACAGCCUGUGACGAGUCCUGCAAGACGUGCUCGGGCCUGACCAACAGAGACUGCGGCGAGUGUGAAGUGGGCUGGGUGCUGGACGAGGGCGCCUGUAUGGAUGUGGACGAGUGUGCGGCCGAGCCGCCUCCCUGCAGCGCUGCGCAGUUCUGUAAGAACGCCAACGGCUCCUACACGUGCGAAGAGUGUGACUCCAGCUGUGUGGGCUGCACAGGGGAAGGCCCAGGAAACUGUAAAGAGUGUAUCUCUGGCUACGCGAGGGAGCACGGACAGUGUGCAGUCAGGCGUGGUGGCGGGCGCCUGUAGUCCCAGCUACUCGGGGGGCUGAGGCAGCAGAAUGGCGUGAACCCGGGAGGCGGAGCUUGCAGUGAGAGGAGAUUGCGCCACUGCCCUCCAGCCUGGGCGACAGAGCGAGACUCCGCCU